GCUUGCCUAAGUUGGCAUCAAGCUUGUGAUCUAAUGUAUCAACCUCAAGGAUGUGAGAUAGGACGCGUUUGUUCACAGGAUCAGCGAACUUGCGCCAGGAUGCAGAAGUAACUCGUUCCCAUGGGUGCCUGUAAAUAUGCUCUUGUGAAUAUGCUCUGACCAUCUUGUUUCUAUUGGUCUAUGAAACAGAUAAUAUAUAUAAAUAUGAGAGAUGAGCAAAUCAAUUUUCUUGAAGCACAAGUUUGAAUUCUCUCUCUAUGGAAAUGGAAAACAUAAGAAAGCAAUGCCG
rnacentral:misc_RNA from 1 species